UGCUUAGUCAUAUUGCUCUUAAUAUAGCCCGUUUCCAUUUGUGCAACACAUGCAGCAUUAUCUUCAUAGAUAAUGGUGGGGGUAUUUGCGGUGUUAUAACCACAUGACUUCUCGUGCGGCUUCUUAUAGUGAGAUUAUUUCUGAGUGGUUAGUAGACGUUGUUACUAAUGUAUGUUUGCACGAUCUCCAGGAUACAGCAGUGCCACCACAUAGAAAUACAAAGCCAGUCUGAGAUAUACCAUUAUGGGGAUCUGACUGAUAUCCAGCAUCAGCAUAGCCCACCAUAGUCUGGUCCUGAUUCUUCGGAAAAAACAGGCCAAGAUCUUGAGUGCCUUUGAGGUAUCUAAGUAUAGUCUUAACACCUACCCAAUGUCUUCUGGUUGGGUCUGCACUGUAUCUAGCUAGUAGAUUUACCGCGAAUGCAAUAUCAGGCCUGGUGCAAUUUGCAAGGUACAUCAGUGCUCCAAUAGCGCUAAGGUAAGGAACAUCAGGUCCCAACGAUUUCUCAUCAUCACUCUUUGGUCUAAAUGGGUCGGUAUCCAUUUCAAGGGAUCUCACGACCAUCGGGGUCUUUAAAGGGUGAGCUUUAAUCAUAUUAAAUCUCUCAAGGACCUUUUUACAAUAGGUCGACUGGUGUACAAAUAUUCCUUCUGGGAGAUGCUCGAUCUGCAGGCCCAAGCAAAACUUGGUUUCUCCCAAGUCUUUCAUUUCAAACUCUGUCUUGAGGUAGGCGCUGGCCUCCUCAAUAUCCUCAGCAUAUCCAAUGAUAUUCAAGUCAUCAACAUAGACUGAAACUAUGCAAAAACCCAUCUGGGAUUUUCUAAUGAAUACGCAAGGAGAAUCUGGAUUAUUUACGUAUCCCUUUCUUCAGGAGGAAUUUGCUGAGCCGAUUGUACCACAUCCGCCCAGAUUGUUUAAGCCCAUACAGCGCCCUCUGCAACCUAACGCUGUACAUGUUGCGAUUUGACUUGGCAUCUGGAACUCUCAGCCCAUCCGGGACCUUCAUAUAGAUUUCCGAAUCCAAUGACCCAUACAAGUAUGCGGUCACUACGUCCAUCAUCUGCAUUUUUAAGUUUAAACCUGCUACCAGUGAUAUCAAAUAUCGGAACGUUGUGCCACUCAUUACCGGGGAGUAAGUUUCAUCGUAAUCGAUGUCGGGUCUCUGCGUGAACCCUUGUGCUACAAGUCUCGCUUUGUAUCUCACCACCUCAUUGUUCGCAUCCCUCUUUCGGACGAACACCCAUUUGAACCCGACUGGGGUAACAUUGGGGGCGUGCGGGCGACAGGCCCAAAUACUUGCCUCUUUGAAAGCGAGAGCAAUUCCGUCUCUAUUGCUUCUUUCCAUUUGACCCAAUCUGAGCGCUUCUGGCACUCUGCCAUGGACUUUGGUUCAGGAUCCUCAGCAAUCACAACAGCGAUCAUAGAGACGAAAUCAGUGUCGACAACUGUAGUCUUUCGGUUAUAUAACUCUCCCGUCUCAACAUAGUUUAUGGCAAUUUCUUCAACUGAAUCAUCCGGUUUAUUGUGAUUUCCCAAGUUAUUUGAAACCGGUUGUUCCGAAGUCCUUGUGCUUUUAUUUGUGCGCACAUUUGCACUAGGACGUUCACCUUCAAGGUGUGUUACUGCUGGAACAUCUGAAAGGAAGCGUGUUGCAUUUUCUUCAGUAACUUGCUGGUGCA
rnacentral:lncRNA from 1 species